GACGAACGCUGGCGGCGUGCCUAAUACAUGCAAGUCGAGCGAAGCGGCGGAUGGGUGAGUAACGCGUGGGGAACCUGCACAUAAGUCUGGGAUACCAUUUGGAAAAAGAUGCUAAUACCGGAUAUUAAAGGAUGGACAUGCGAUGCAUUAGCUAGUUGGUAAGGUAACGGCUUACCAAGGCGAGGUUUCAUAGCCGGGUUGAGAGACUGAUCGGCCACAUUGGGACUGAGACACUGCCCAAACUCCUACGGGAGGCAGCAGUAGGGAAUCUUCCACAAUGGACGAAAGUCUGAUGGAGCAACGCCGCGUUAGUGAAGAAGGUUUUCGGAUCGUAAAGCUCUGUUGUUGGUGAAGCGGUAAUCAACCAGAAAGUCUCGGCUAACUACGUGCCAGCAGCCGCGGUAAUUC
rnacentral:rRNA from 1 species